rnacentral:lncRNA from 1 species
ACAAAGACUUUCGUAGCGUCAUUGCAUGAGCGCCUCAUCUCAAAGGUGUUCUUGAUGACCUUCAUUGCUUUCUUACGUCCCUGGAAAGUGAAAAUCACAUAGUUCACUCAAUCUGAUACAGCAUAUAUGAAAGCAUUUACAUUUUACUUAGUUAUAUAUUUAUAAUGAAUAUCUUUUUUUUUUUGGUAUAAUGAACAUCGAUCUUUCAAUAUAAAAAGAAUUCCAAAUGAUGAACAACAACAACAAUUGAUUACUUGUAAGCAAGCAUGGAAUGCUGUUCCAGGGAUGUUGAGAGGAAAUGAGAUAAAGCCAUCCAUGAAUGCCUUAUAACUGUCUCGCAAUUUUUUCUGAGCCUUGCUUUCUUCAUAGUCAAGUAUCUUCUUGGCAGCAAGCUUAAAUACCAACUGUAAAAAAUGAGAUUGUUAAUUACUACCUUUCAUGCAAUGCUCUGUCCGUAUUGUCUGAAUUCAUCCUGAUUAAUAUAAUCAAAUAGUAGAAUGUUAAUUAAUUUACCUCCGCAGUUCCAUCUUUAGCAUCUAUUUUUCCAAGUUUACUCCAAGAACUUAGACAUUUUUGAGUGUUGCCAUCCAUUUCAUAUAUUAGCUUCUCUCUUAAGGCUUCGGGGCUAACAAGCUUCAAGAUUAAGUUCUUGAGGUACUUGUGGAACUCUCCAUGAUGGACAACUAAACUUUGUUUCCCAAUUAUCCGGAAGACACUCUCAGUAUACGAGCACUGGAAAGCAUUACCUUCUUGCUGGAAGACACGGUAGUUGACUUCAGGAUCAGUUGAUACAAUGACUGGCUGCCCAACUAAACUCGUGCGAAAAAUUGGCCCGUACCUGAAAAUUCCCAAAGAAGAAAAAAGAAAAAAAGAAAAGACAAGACAAAGCACAAAUAACAUGUAAAAGAAUAUUAGAGGAGUUGACGAAAAGGGUAACAUAAUAUAUCUUACUGCUGAUGAUGUUAUGUUACAAAUGACAUGAUAAUAUGUUACAAAGACAAAUAUCAUCUCUUAAUUUAUAUACUACUGCUGUAAUAUUGUUAAAAUAUAUAUGUUAUAGCUAAUUAAGAAGUGGUUAGAUAACCACUGAGAUACUGAAGUUGGGACAAUAGUCAGGAAAGGAUUGUUAGAGUUUUUUUCAUUGCCCGGUUCAAAGUUCAAAUUUUGUGUCUGGUAGUUGCAAAUGAGAAGAGAUAGAAGAUUAGAGAAAGGAUUUUAUAUACCUAGACACUCUUUUUUGCAAGAAUUGUGGAACAUCAUCUUUUGCAUAAGGGGUGAAGUACUGAAUUGUUUCUCCUAUAAUUGGUAGUCCCAUCGAACCUGGUGGUAAUGCCCCGCUACACUUGGGGUUUCUCCACCUAUAUACCCAGUGGCUAAAAAGCACAAUAAUAAGAGCAAUAAUAGCACAAGCAAACAACAUGGUCCGUGGUUAGUGUACUGGAAAUGUAGGGUAAAAAAGAGUAGCUAAACUUGUUAUUGUUUGCUAU